rfam:Schistosoma rodhaini strain Burundi genome assembly, scaffold: SROB_scaffold0002169
AUUUAGCUGACGAGUCCUAAAAAGGACGAAAAACGUGUCCUAGAU